AGCAGCAGCCGCGGGAAUACAGAGGGUGCAAGCGUUAAUCGGAAUUACUGGGCGUAAAGCGCGCGUAGGUGGUUUGUUAAGUUGGAUGUGAAAGCCCCGGGCUCAACCUGGGAACUGCAUCCAAAACUGGCAAGCUAGAGUACGGUAGAGGGUGGUGGAAUUUCCUGUGUAGCGGUGAAAUGCGUAGAUAUAGGAAGGAACACCAGUGGCGAAGGCGACCACCUGGACUGAUACUGACACUGAGGUGCGAAAGCGUGGGGAGCAAACAGGAUUAGAUACCCCCGUAGUCCCUGUCUCUUAUAC
rnacentral:rRNA from 1 species